AUGAGAACUCAGGGGAGUUCAGCUCCAGAAGUAGGUGACAGCCUGCUGGAGACUCCGCUGCUGACGGUGCUGGCGUUCAGAAGACACUCGUCAUCCUUUGGGGUAAACGUGUUGCCUGUUUGCGUGUCUUAUUUGGAACACACAGAAAAAGGAGCUGCCUGGCAGCCUGGCUCUCCGCGCCCCGCCCUUGGUCCUCCCGAAGCGGGCGCUGGAUCCGUUUCCCCAUGCUGCUGGAGAGCUGCAGAGAGCCUAGCAGUCAGUGUGCCGCCCCCGUGCAUCCCCCUCGGGUUCAGGAGAAGUCGAUUCUCCCUAAAAUGGAGCCAAGAAGCCGGGUCCCCCCAGAACUGA
rnacentral:lncRNA from 1 species